rnacentral:rRNA from 1 species
UACGUAGGUGGCAAGCGUUGUCCGGAAUUACUGGGCGUAAAGGGCGUGUAGGCGGCCUUUUAAGUCAGGCGUGAAAGACCAAGGCUUAACCUUGGGAUUGCGUUUGAGACUGAGAGGCUUGAGGAUCGGAGAGGGCAGUGGAAUUCCCAGUGUAGCGGUGAAAUGCGUAGAUAUUGGGAGGAACACCAGUGGCGAAGGCGGCUGCCUGGACGACACCUGACGCUGAGGCGCGAAAGCCAGGGGAGCAAAC